rnacentral:rRNA from 1 species
GACGAACGCUGGCGGCGUGCUUAACACAUGCAAGUCGAACGGAAAGGCCCUGCUUUUGUGGGGUGCUCGAGUGGCGAACGGGUGAGUAACACGUGAGUAACCUGCCCUUGACUUUGGGAUAACUUCAGGAAACUGGGGCUAAUACCGGAUAGGAGCUCCUGCUGCAUGGUGGGGGUUGGAAAGUUUCGGCGGUUGGGGAUGGACUCGCGGCUUAUCAGCUUGUUGGUGGGGUAGUGGCUUACCAAGGCUUUGACGGGUAGCCGGCCUGAGAGGGUGACCGGCCACAUUGGGACUGAGAUACGGCCCAGACUCCUACGGGAGGCAGCAGUGGGGAAUAGUGCACAAUGGGCGAAAGCCUGAUGCAGCAACGCCGCGUGCGGGAUGACGGCCUUCGGGUUGUAAACCGCUUUCGCCUGUGACGAAGCGUGAGUGACGGUAAUGGGUAAAGAAGCACCGGCUAACUACGUG